rnacentral:lncRNA from 10 species
GCUCUCAUCACCUAUAUACUCUUCUCUCUGCCCGUCUCUGCUUCCCCCCCCUUCCCCCCCCCCUUUUCUCCCGGCCGACGGAGCUGAAGGGGCGGGGGUUCCUUCCUUGGAGUGUUUCUAGAGCUCGGAGGCUGCUGGUAGGGGGAAGUUGUACCCGUCAGCACCUGCUGAGGGCUUUGUUGUCCAAACCCUGACAGGUAAAAAAAUUCCUGCAGAAUAAAGCCAGACCAGCUGGCUUUGAAGAGAAACCCCCCAGUUUGGGCUGCGUUUGCCUCCUCUCCUUUUCUAUGAAGACCGAGGCUUUGCCCCCUUGAUCGUCAAGCCGUGAGAUGCGUGAUCUCUCUGCACAAGUGUCUGGCAGGCCGAGGUGCACCUGUUUCUGUCACUCUGGAGUAAAUUUAGCUGUAAAGGUAUCACUGACAACCAGACCUUUGUCAGUGCUGGCAAAAGAACACAGAAUUGCUUCCCUCCCCUCCCCCCUCCCGACCCCCUAUGCUGCUAGUUCCAAUGGAAAAUAUCCAAUCGGAAGUCUAUCCAAAAAUCAUUCCUAAAAAAUGAAAUUGCUUUCAUAUGGUAUAAAAAAGUAAGUUUCCUCAUUUCAAGCAGAUUUUAAAAUUACAUUUCCAAGAAUAAUCUUGGAACAAGACAAGUUUUCGUUCAAUUAAUUGUGGCUGGAAACUUUUUAAUGGAAACAUAGCACAUACUUACUUCAUUUCAGGUUAUUAAAUUGUGUUAAGCAUAAAAGUUAUUUGCCAUUCUUUGUUGCAGCUCAUUUGUUCUUUUCGAUUCUAAGAAAUAUUAGAAGGUUAAAUAACUUAUCACAUAGGAGAGAUUAUUCAUACUACCAAAAUUAGAAUGUGUGUAGUUCUGAGGGACUGAAUGUCAAAAUUGUAUGCUCAUAGCACUAAAACUAUUGGGAAUCUAGGAUGCCACUGGAACAUGUAAAAUGGCAGCUAAGGUCUAUGGAAACCCUUCAUGUUUAGAAACUGGCUAAAGCUUGAGUUCUCUUAUCUUUUGGUUAAGGGCACCACUUUCAGAUAAAAACAUAGACCUGAAUGGCAUCAUCCAGUAUCCAAGGAAACCAUGUUCUCUAAACAUGAAUAUGCCUUUGGGGGAAGACAGAAGAACAUGGAAGCCAUGUGAAAAAAACGGAUCCUAAGGCAGUUUUGAACAUCUGGAGGCCUGAUUUAUUGGAGAUUGCAAAUGUACAGUGUAACAUAGCUGUGGAGAGCGAGAAGAUCAGGAUUGUCAAUGCUGUCAUUGCUUUUACUGGAAUCCCCAGCACGAAUUGAAGGUUUGACCAGAGACAAAGAAGCAAAUGCUAUCAAUUAACAUUCACAUGUGGUAGGUCUCACUUUGCCACCUAGGCUGGAUGCAAUGCAACGGUAUGUUGAUCUUGGUUCACUGCAGCCUCAACCUCCUGAGCUCAUGUGAUCCUCCCACCUCAGUCCCCCACGUCGCUUGGAUUACAGGCCUGUGCCACCACACCUGGCUAACUUUUUUUGUAAUUUUUGUAGAGACAGGGUCUCACUAUGUUUCCCAUGCUGGUCUUUAAUGCCUGAGCUCAAGCCAUCCGCCUGCCUCGGCCUCCCAAAUUGCUGGGAUUACAGGCAUGAGCCACCAUGCCCAGCCUAAUUCUUCUAAAUCUUAUCCUAGUAAUUAAGCCAGAAUUUUUCUCUGCCAAGACCAAUAGAUGGACCAAGAAGUACUCAUCCUUGUAAACUUUCUUUGGAUAAAUUGCUUACAUAUAAUAAAUUCAGAGUUAAGUAAUAAAAAUAAUGAACUACUGUCUUG